rnacentral:rRNA from 1 species
UACGUAGGUGGCAAGCGUUAUCCGGAUUUAUUGGGUGUAAAGGGAGCGUAGACGGAAUUGCAAGUCUGAUGUGAAAAUCCGGGGCCCAACCCCGGAACUGCAUUGGAAACUGUAUUUCUAGAGUGUCGGAGAGGCAAGUGGAAUUCCUGGUGUAGCGGUGAAAUGCGUAGAUAUCAGGAGGAACACCAGUGGCGAAGGCGGCUUGCUGGACGAUGACUGACGUUGAGGCUCGAAAGCGUGGGGAGCAAACAGG